ensembl:lncRNA
GGAUUGUUGAACUGCAAACUGUUAGUGAAAAACUGGUUAUUGCGUCUUCAUGCUUGAGUGUUGAGAUCUUGUUUGUCGUUGUAGAUUACCUGAUCUCCCUGUUCCCCUGUGCACAGGUUUUGAACCCUUCUUGUGGUGUGGUAAGAAUCUCAUCUUAAAGCUCACAGAACGAUUUCAACAACCACCAAACAGGUAAAACCACAAAUGAGAGCAGGUACACAGGUGUUACUACUCUCCAGCCAAAACUGACUUAACCAGCAGCAAAAGAAGAUCCAUACUACGUUUCAGUUUCAAGACAAACAAAGCAGUGAAGAUGGACGUGCUGCCCUGCAUGAUGCUCGUCUUCCUGCUGUCAGUUGGAGCCUCUCUGGCCCAGGUGGAUCUGACUCGUAUCGUAAGAAAAAUCAGAGGACAAUACAGCAUAGAUGGACAGUUCUGUCUGGCUGCAGUCAUCCCGGUAGAUCUGAACCUAAACACUCUUAACCAGGUUUUUGAGGGUGAUCCCUUUCAGGCUGUUCUGGGAAAGAUUGGGGAAAGAACCUCAGACAAUAACAAUCGUGGAGUGUAUGUAGGCCAGAGGGUGAUUGUGGCCAGACCAACAUCACCUGAAGGCGGACGAAGUGGACAACAUGCAGAAAGUCGUGUUCUGCAAACCCUGAGAGAGCGGCUGGAAACUGAGAACCUGAACAGAUUCCUAAACAGCCAGGACAACUUCCUGCUCAUCUACUCUUUUGCCUCUGCAUGUGAUACAUGCACCAGCCGCUACCAUUCAUCGAGCAUCAUUGAGGACCUUGAACUUAUCGCUGAAACCUACUAUUCUGUAUUUGUGUUUAAAAAAAUCUUUCAGCCCAACAAUCAGCCUCCCAUUCCUGAAAACAUUUUGGCUGAUUCCCUUCGUUCUCUUGGUGAUGCCAUCGGUGGGCUUAAUAACAUCUUUCGUUGUGACCCAGAUUGUUACAGCUGCUUUGGAAGGGAAACAAACGCAAUUUCACAAUAUUGUAUUAUUAACAAUGCUUAGUGUUGGGUCUAACACUUAAACCCCGCUGACUCAGAGACCAAUCACCUGUGUACAAAGGAAGAUCACACAGAACUCAGUCAGUUUUUACUUGCUGCGCAAAGGGAGUCCAAGCUCUUCUCCUGAUCUCAGUUAACUCUAAACUCCAGCCUCCCCUCUCAGUUCUUCUAUUAACCUCAAAUUCAAAUUCAAAUUUUAUUUGUCACACACACACAACCAUACACAGUAUGACAUGGGGGUGAAAUGCUUGUAGCUGUACAAUGCCAGACCAUUAAAUGACAGAAGAAAAGUUUUACAAUAUUUACAAUUUACUACAAAAAUUUACAAAUUAACUUAGGAAUUUACAGUAAAGAAUGUGCAAAUAGCAGAAGAGAUUAUAAAGAUAAGGAUUAUAAAUUAUAGGAAUUAUAGGAUUAUAGGAAAUGUGUG